rnacentral:rRNA from 1 species
GAUGAACGCUGGCGGCGUGCCUAAUACAUGCAAGUCGAGCGAACAGACGAGGAGCUUGCUCCUUUGACGUUAGCGGCGGACGGGUGAGUAACACGUGGAUAACCUACCUAUAAUACUGGGAUAACUUCGGGAAACCGGAGCUAAUACCGGAUAACAUGUUGAACCGCAUGGUUCAACAGUGAAAGACGGUCUUGCUGUCACUUAUAGAUGGAUCCGCGCCGCAUUAGCUAGUUGGUAAGGUAACGGCUUACCAAGGCAACGAUGCGUAGCCGACCUGAGAGGGUGAUCGGCCACACUGGAACUGAGACACGGUCCAGACUCCUACGGGAGGCAGCAGUAGGGAAUCUUCCGCAAUGGGCGAAAGCCUGACGGAGCAACGCCGCGUGAGUGAAGAAGGUCUUCGGAUCGUAAAACUCUGUUAUUAGGGAAGAACAAAUGUGUAAGUAACUAUGCACGUCUUGACGGUACCUAAUCAGAAAGCCACGGCUAACUACGUG